rnacentral:ncRNA from 1 species
GUAUCUUUUGCCCGCGCCUGCAAAUUCAGGCGCCGGGCUUAGCAUCCUGAAAU